AAUAUAUCGUGGGAUUACUAAUGGCGUAGUGCGAACGCGUGAACCGAGACGUGGAAACGAGUCGUAUGGUGCGAAGAAGUCCCGGCGGAGACAG